AUAGGGGCAUUGCUAGCAAUGGAUAGAAGUUGUGUGAAUUUCAAAAUUUUUGUUCGAGAAAAAUCUUCAGAGAAGAAGCUUGCUAACUCCUAAAUCCAGAGAAUGAACUGUUUGCAGAAAGAUACCUAAACCCUUACACUACAGGAAAAUCCAGAAUGAACCUUGGGGUGUGGUUGAUUGAACAUUUAUUUUGAAUGUACACUCUUAUGCCAAAGGGGACUGCCCCCUAAUUGGCUUUUGUCAAUGUGCCCAGCAAAACAUUGCUUUUUUGUCUCUCUCUCUCUCUCUCUCUCUCCUAUUUUCCCCUUAUCUCUCUAACUAUUGUAAUUUCAUAGCUGGUAUGUUUACAAGACCCAUUGGAGAGACUAGUCUUCCUCAGGCCUCAGGGGGAAUUGUGAAUUUCAAAACUAUUCCACCCUAUUCAGACCAUUCUUUAGAAAAAUUUAGCUAUUUCCUGAUCAAUAACAAUAGAGAUACUUGGAAUAACAGAAUCAGGUCUUGGAAGCUACCUUUCUCCUCCCUUCUUAGUUUAACAAGAUUAGGAAGGUCUGCAUCAAACUCAAGAUUUAAUCUGAGAAAAUGGCUUUCAACGGAUAUGUGCAAAAAAAGAACAGACCUCUGGACUGUCCUAAGUCAAGCUUGAGCCACCAUUGGCACAUGUGAGACACAGGAAGUGAGAUAAAAAACAGCCUCUGGAGUUCUCGUGACUUCCUGUGGAGAGGGCUAGAGUUCAGUUCGAUCCUGGAGCUCAAGCUUGGAGGAGCUCAGCAGACAGCUUUCCUUCAGACUGGUCACGACAGACAGAGAGGCCUUGUAUGUUAUGAGAACGGAUCUUUGGAAGAAGGACUUUGUUACCCGAGGUCUCAGGGGGUGGGAGGAGAAGAUAGAUAAGAACAGAACUCAAGAGUUGACAUUCCCAGCCCACCAUACUCAAAUUCUGCCUUUAUUUAAUGGGAGAGAUUGUUUGCUUCAGCCAGAUGUUCAAGCGCACUCCACCAACAUCCCAACCCAGGAAGGAAAACAAGCUAGCCACAGAAGACCACCCAAUUUAUCUCCUUUCUCUGUCAGCAAUCCAAGAGUCAGGAGGCUCCUGGGAAAUGUAGUUCAAAGGCACAAGAUUUCCAAUUACAUUCAAGGGAGCAUCUACAGAAGUAAUUCAGCUGCCCUAGCAAGGGGGACAUUUUCAAAGGAUGAAGAAUUGACUGAACCUCAAAGGCUGGAUGAUUCCAUUUAUGCACUUCAGUACAACUCCGUCACACCUUUGGGCUCACCCUAGCCAAAAGCCUUUGGUCUCUUUCUUCACCUUGCUUUACACUCCCUUCUUCUCCCCCCACCUCAACCUUUCAGCUCCACUUUACAUUUAAGUGGGUUCAGAUGGGUUUCUGAUGUGCUGUGGCCUUGGAUGUAUUACUGAAUAAACAAUUCUAGAAAUCAAUUAAGCA
rnacentral:lncRNA from 1 species